UACGUAGGGGGCUAGCGUUGUCCGGAAUCAUUGGGCGUAAAGAGCGUGUAGGCGGUCCGGUAAGUCCGCUGUGAAAGUCGGGGGCUCAACCCUCGAAUGCCGGUGGAUACUGUCGGGCUAGAGUGCGGAAGAGGCGAGUGGAAUUCCUGGUGUAGCGGUGGAAUGCGCAGAUAUCAGGAAGAACACCCGUGGCGAAGGCGGCUCUCUGGGACGGUACUGACGCUGAGACGCGAAAGCGUGGGGAGCGAACAGG
rnacentral:rRNA from 1 species